rnacentral:rRNA from 1 species
AUUGAACGCUGGCGGCAGGCCUAACACAUGCAAGUCGAACGGUAGCACAGAGAGCUUGCUCUCGGGUGACGAGUGGCGGACGGGUGAGUAAUGUCUGGGAAACUGCCUGAUGGAGGGGGAUAACUACUGGAAACGGUAGCUAAUACCGCAUAACGUCGCAAGACCAAAGAGGGGGACCUUCGGGCCUCUUGCCAUCAGAUGUGCCCAGAUGGGAUUAGCUAGUAGGUGGGGUAACGGCUCACCUAGGCGACGAUCCCUAGCUGGUCUGAGAGGAUGACCAGCCACACUGGAACUGAGACACGGUCCAGACUCCUACGGGAGGCAGCAGUGGGGAAUAUUGCACAAUGGGCGCAAGCCUGAUGCAGCCAUGCCGCGUGUAUGAAGAAGGCCUUCGGGUUGUAAAGUACUUUCAGCGGGGAGGAAGGCGAUAAGGUUAAUAACCUUGGCGAUUGACGUUACCCGCAGAAGAAGCACCGGCUAACUCCGUGCCAGCAGCCGCGGUAAUACGGAGGGUGCAAGCGUUAAUCGGAAUUACUGGGCGUAAAGCGCACGCAGGCGGUCUGUCAAGUCGGAUGUGAAAUCCCCGGGCUCAACCUGGGAACUGCAUUCGAAACUGGCAGGCUAGAGUCUUGUAGAGGGGGGUAGAAUUCCAGGUGUAGCGGUGAAAUGCGUAGAGAUCUGGAGGAAUACCGGUGGCGAAGGCGGCCCCCUGGACAAAGACUGACGCUCAGGUGCGAAAGCGUGGGGAGCAAACAGGAUUAGAUACCCUGGUAGUCCACGCCGUAAACGAUGUCGAUUUGGAGGUUGUGCCCUUGAGGCGUGGCUUCCGGAGCUAACGCGUUAAAUCGACCGCCUGGGGAGUACGGCCGCAAGGUUAAAACUCAAAUGAAUUGACGGGGGCCCGCACAAGCGGUGGAGCAUGUGGUUUAAUUCGAUGCAACGCGAAGAACCUUACCUGGUCUUGACAUCCACAGAACUUUCCAGAGAUGGAUUGGUGCCUUCGGGAACUGUGAGACAGGUGCUGCAUGGCUGUCGUCAGCUCGUGUUGUGAAAUGUUGGGUUAAGUCCCGCAACGAGCGCAACCCUUAUCCUUUGUUGCCAGCGGUUAGGCCGGGAACUCAAAGGAGACUGCCAGUGAUAAACUGGAGGAAGGUGGGGAUGACGUCAAGUCAUCAUGGCCCUUACGACCAGGGCUACACACGUGCUACAAUGGCGCAUACAAAGAGAAGCGACCUCGCGAGAGCAAGCGGACCUCAUAAAGUGCGUCGUAGUCCGGAUUGGAGUCUGCAACUCGACUCCAUGAAGUCGGAAUCGCUAGUAAUCGUAGAUCAGAAUGCUACGGUGAAUACGUUCCCGGGCCUUGUACACACCGCCCGUCACACCAUGGGAGUGGGUUGCAAAAGAAGUAGGUAGCUUAACCUUCGGGAGGGCGCUUACCACUUUGUGAUUCAUGACUGGGGUGA